rnacentral:lncRNA from 1 species
CACUUUGUAUCUCGUGGAUUCAUUUGCUAGUGUUAGUUACACUAACCUGUAAUCCAGUUUGGAUGAUAAGCUGAAACGCUGACCAUACCAGAACAUUAUUUAUACGUAACACCGACUUGCUAAUCAUCUCUCUUUAGGUUCUCUUCUCUUGCCUUGAUUCUUCUUGAAGUUAAGUUGGUUCUCUUUGGUCUUUGCUUGAAUGCCUAAUUGUCGGACAAUCUGGUUCCGUUCAUCUCAUAAGUUCAAAGUUGAAUUUUUUCUCUUGUAUAGGAUCACCAUAUACCAUAGUAGGCCCAAACUGAACUGUAUAUAAUAUUCCUUGUUAUUUCAGAUGAUCCAAGCGACAAUUGUACUGGAGGACAUGAUUAAAAGAGAUUACCUGAGGAACGAGUGGUGGUAUUGGUCAUCUCUU